UGGGGAAUUUUCCGCAAUGGGCGAAAGCCUGACGGAGCAAUACCGCGUGAGGGAGGAAGGCUUUUGGGUUGUAAACCUCUUUUCUCAAGGAAGAAGUUCUGACGGUACUUGAGGAAUCAGCAUCGGCUAACUCCGUGCCAGCAGCCGCGGUAAUACGGAGGAUGCAAGCGUUAUCCGGAAUGAUUGGGCGUAAAGCGCGCGUAGGUGGUUUUGUAAGUCGGAUGUGAAAGCCCAGGGCUUAACCUUGGAACUGCAUUCGAUACUGCUUAACUAGAGUAUGGUAGAGGGAAGUGGAAUUUCCGGUGUAGCGGUGAAAUGCGUAGAUAUCGGAAGGAACACCAGUGGCGAAGGCGACUUCCUGGGCCAAUACUGACACUGAGGUGCGAAAGCGUGGGGAGCAAACAGGAUUAGAUACCCGGGUAGUCC
rnacentral:rRNA from 1 species